rnacentral:tRNA from 1 species
GCCGGUGUAGCUCAACGGACAGAGCAGUCCCGUCCUAAGGGAAAGGUUGAGAGUUCAAUUCUCUCCACCGGCA